rnacentral:rRNA from 1 species
GUUGCUCGGAAUCACUGGGCGUAAAGGGUGCGUAGGCGGGUCUUUAAGUCAGGGGUGAAAUCCUGGAGCUCAACUCCAGAACUGCCUUUGAUACUGAAGAUCUUGAGUUCGGGAGAGGUGAGUGGAACUGCGAGUGUAGAGGUGAAAUUCGUAGAUAUUCGCAAGAACACCAGUGGCGAAGGCGGCUCACUGGCCCGAUACUGACGCUGAGGCACGAAAGCGUGGGGAGCAAACAGG